rnacentral:lncRNA from 1 species
AAAAGACUGCAGAGUCAACGGAAGAUGGACAAAGGGACACCAUCAAAAAACGACUUCAACGACACGAAAAGCCUUUUAGAGGUUUUCAGCCGGAAUAGAUCAGCGUCUAUACGAAAUAAAUACAAUCACUACAUUGUAAUAUCAAGCAUCUGACAGCAACUAUAGAUUAACGAUAGAUGAGCUUUCUGACUUUGGGCAGGCAAAUACACAGGUCGUGGUGCUAAUAGUCCACACGAUCUGAACAAUAAUGAUUCCUCGUUCUGUAAAAUGACAACAGGUAUGCUUCCGGUUGCGGGAAAUUCUCGCUGUGCACAUUGAAGACCUGUUGGUGACCUUCUGCUGUUGUCUGCUCUAUGGUCGGGUUGUUGUGUCUCUUUGAUACAUUCCCCCAUUUCCAUUCUCAAUUUUAAACACAUCUGGUUUUAAUCCUUGUAAUCAGAAUAAUGUUGCCACCAAAAGUGAGCGCAUAAAGCUUCAGUUGGUAAGAUCUGGUCGUUUUUAGACAUAAUAUACAUUUGUACAACUGGAAUAUUUUCGUUUUGAAAAAGAUGUGGCGCGAUUCUCAAAGAGACAAGUUGGAACUAACCACCAAAACAAAAAAGGACAUAAUGUAACUAACUAAUAGUCAUUAUAAAAAAGAAGAUCUGGUAUAAUUGCCAAUGAGACAACUCUCCACAAGAGACCAAAAUGACACAAAUUAAGAAUUAUAGGUCAACGUACGGCCUACAACAAUGAGCCGAAAUGACAAUGUAAAACUAUUCAAACGAGAAAACUAACGGCCUUACUUGUGUACAAAAAAAGUAAAGAAAAACAAAUAUGUGUCACAUAAACAAACGACAACCACUGAAUUACAGGCGCCUGACUUGGGACAGACACAGACAUACAUAAUGUGGCGGGGUUAAACAUGUUAGCCGGAUUUCAAACCUCCACUAACCUUGGACAGUUGUAUAACAGUACAACAUAAGAACGAACUAAUAAAACCAGGUGGAAAAGCCUUAACUCAUCAGAUGGACAAAAAUACAAAUGAACGUGGCCGGGUACUUGUAAAACCAAUUCAGUAUUUAGCUGUAAAAGACCAUGGAUAACAAUUUAAAAUGUGACACAGUACAACCAAAAAAAACAAAAAAAAACUAAAGUACUCUCAGAGUGGGCUCAGUCAGUGUCCUAAGUAAGGAAUCUGAUGUACAAUAGUUGUCGUCUGUUUAUGUAGUUCAUAAGUGUUUCUCGUUUCUCGUUUUUAUAUAGAUUAGACCGUUGGUUUUCCCGUUUGAAUGGUUUUACAGUAGUAAUUUUUGAAGCCC